rnacentral:rRNA from 1 species
CGGAGGAUCCGAGCGUUAUCCGGAUUUAUUGGGUUUAAAGGGUGCGUAGGCGGGAUAGUAAGUCAGUGGUGAAAGCCUGCAGCUCAACUGCAGAACUGCCAUUGAUACUGCUAACCUUGAGUGUGUUUGAUGUGGGCGGAAUGUGCAGUGUAGCGGUGAAAUGCUCAGAUAUUGCACAGAACACCAAUUGCGAAGGCAGCUCACAAAACCACAACUGACGCUGAGGCACGAAAGCGUGGGGAUCAAACAGGAUUAGAUACCCUGGUAGUCCACGCCUUAAACGUUGAAUACUCGAUGUGUGCGAUAUACUGUACGCGUCUAAGCGAAAGUGAUAAGUAUUCCACCUGGGGAGUACGCUCGCAAGGGUG